UACGGAGGGUGCGAGCGUUGUCCGGAAUCACUGGGCGUAAAGGGCGCGUAGGCGGCGCGGGUAGUCAUCGGUGAAAGUUCAGGGCUCAACUCUGAAUCGGCCGGUGAUACUCCCGUGCUCGAGCACUGUAGAGGCAGGUGGGAUUCCGGGUGUAGCGGUGGAAUGCGUAGAGAUCCGGAAGAACACCGGUGGCGAAGGCGGCCUGCUGGGCAGUAGCUGACGCUGAUGCGCGACAGCGUGGGGAGCAAACAGG
rnacentral:rRNA from 1 species